UAAGCAGCUGAUAGUGGAUGGUAUCAUAUGAUAAACUUGAAAAAGGUACUCGUUGCUUUAUUAAAUACGUAUUUCGAGAACAUGCAAUGGAAAACGAAGGUACUUCACGGACGCAACCCGUGCUUUCUUGACCUAAGGAUGGCCCGCGUCACGAGAAUUAAGUCUGAGGGAGUCCGUAUAGAGUCCCUUCUUUAUUUCGCGGGAAAAUCGUGUUUCUGGAUCACUCGUAAUUAGCAACACUAACGGAACUAACCCUUAAUGACAGGUAAUUACAUCUGCUAAUAGCGUAAGCGGUACUAGAACCUAGUACAGACUCCAGUCUGCUUAGUCCGAGUUUUUUGCGAAAGGGAAAAAAACAGGUUGGUCUUGGCGUGAUAUUAUAUAGCCUCAAUAAAUGGGCUAUCUAACCCCGAAAGAAUUUUUCAAAUCGGACCUGUAGUUCCUGAGAUUAGCACAUUCAACCAAACUCUUGAGCUUUUUAAUAUUAGUAGUAGUAUAGAUUAGAGAGUAAUUAGUUAGCACAAUAAUCCAAUGUCACGAAAUAACAUCUCAGUCGUAUAUAAAAAUAAUAAAUGUGAAAUUAAACCAAAAAAGUUGUUUUAAUUAUAUCUACGAAUCACAGAAACCGAAGAAGAUACUAAAUCAUCAGUUUAUUUACCUCGACUAACAAGACUUGUGGUGUUUUCGUUCCACUGUGUAUUUAUCUUAUUUACCUCUCGCAUUUAUUUGAUAAUAUUAAUCAAUGUGAGGAUAACCUUAUUUUGUAAUCUGUUUGUGAUCAUAUACUUGAAGUUCAAAUAAAAUAAACCGAUAGCCGCGUACAUUCGCGUAUAAAAUAAACUGAAUAAAAACUGAACUACGCUGGCAAGAAUUUCUGGAAAUUUUUAAUUUAAGGGUUUUUUUAAUAAGUUAUUUUUAAUUUAAGGUAUUUUUCAUUCACUAGUAUACAUCGUUGGAACAACGGCAACCGUAAGUUCCAGCGGACUCAUAACAUCUUCACCCUUUGCUAGAAGUAAUAGGGUUCUGUGUCUUCUCCGUAGACAGUAGAACAACGCAGGUUUAUUAUUAGAACCUUUGCGCUUGUAAUGACUUAUUUUUUAUUAUACACAGAAAUCAGUGGCGUAAAUAAAGGGUGGCAGGGCUGACAGAAUGGCACGGACCUCAAAGCAACGUAACAUCUAUACAAAUAUGUAAAUAAAAUUGAAGUGUCUGUUUGUAAUAUUAAGUUUUUUACUAUAUGCAGAUGAACGGGACAUAUACCAAAAUAACUUUUUUCCAAUUUUUGUCUGUCUAUCUGUUUGUUCCGGCUAAUCUCUGGAACGGCUAGAACGGGCGAUUUUUAUGGGACUUUCACUGGCAGAAAUCUUAUGUAAUGAAGAGUAACUUAGGCUACUUCUAUUCUAGAAAAAAUCUAAAAUUAUUAUAAGAUGUAAUGUUUUGUUAAAUUCCACGCGGACAAAGUCUCGGGCAUAGCUAGUAUUUAAUAAAAUUUAAUUAAUAAUUACUAAUUAUAAAUCUUAAACAUAUUUUAUUUAUUUAUUUAACCCAUGCUUUUGAAAUUAAGUUUAUUAGAUAUUUAACUAAAUGCACACAGUAUUGAUAAUACUGUCGGGUAACUCCUUCAAUGAGACGUUUAAAAUAACAAGACGAUUUUGACUGGGGCCCCAUCCAAUGAAUUUGUAUGUGAAUUUGUAUUUGUAUGUAUUAAGAGCAAACUAUAUUAAACAGUUCAUAAUGCGAAAUACGUUAAUGUCACCGGUCAUCGUUCUCGUCGAACCCGUCGCUUGCGACGAAGGGCUCGGUGAGAAAAUUAACCCACAGAGACAGUCCACUGAGUUUUUCGCCGGGUCUGUAGGUCGCGUUUCCGAUCCGGUGGUAGAUUCUGCGAAGCACUGCUCUUGUUAGGGUUAGUGUUAGCAACGUCGUCAAUUUUGAGCCCCGUAAGCUCAUCUGAUUGUUAGGUUACGCUGAUAUAGGCUCUCAAGGCAUAUUAUUAUGUAGGAAAAAAAAAAGUUAAUGUCAAGUGUUAAAGCUUUGAACCUCUUUUACAUAUAAAUUUACAAAAUGUAGGAAACACUUUUAUGGUUUAUAAAGGAGGCGACAUACAUGAGUCUUAGUUAUGUUAUCAAUACAAAAAACGCUUGUCAUUCAUUUCUUACUUUAUGUCACUUUAUCACGAAUUCGAAUGUUAUAUAAAGGUUAUAUACAUUUCAAUGCAAUUCAAUGUAUGAUGUAAUAUCGAGAUUAGUAGUCUGAUACGUCUAGAAAAUAAAAACCAGGUGUCUGAUAAAAAAUGGAAAUCAAUCGAAAAAAUCGUCGGAUCCCGCAUGUGGGAGUUGAACCUCACUAAAAACUCCUGCCGCUCACAGCCGGCGCCCUACCCCAGACCGGGCCGGAGCUCAGUCGGGGCUAUUGAGACGGCGGAAUCACAUCUACCCUAACAAGAGUAAUAUUUCGCUGAAUCUAUCACCGAAUCGGAAUGGUGACCCAUUGAGAAGGACAAUGGGUUCCGGUGGCUGCACGUUCCUUGGACCCGAAACAUCCCGUCAUCCUUGCGGGAAAGGUCGCGGGAUAUAUGAUAUCCCGAAGGCAUUGGCCACGAGAAGGCUGUCAGUUGUUUACAACGAUCUUUUUGUGAACCGGUCUGAUGUUUUGAAAUACAAUAACUAAUUCUAAUGAGUGAAACGGUUAGAAACGUUUUACCGUUUACUUUCGUUAUUUUAAUUGGUAAAUAAAGGUUGUGAGUAGUUCAAACUUUUUAGUCACGUGAAUGUUUGGGAAUUGGAAUCGAAUCCACGAUCGUCAGCCCAGCAUUCUGAGCGAUCACCACUGCCCCACCGGAUCAGUCAAUAAUAAAAUAUUUAAAAUACCGAUGCAUUAAA